rnacentral:lncRNA from 1 species
UGAAGAUGAAAGUGAAGAGUUUCCAGACAAGCUUAGCUGGAGUGCAUUCCACUUCUCUGAAGUUUAAGAAUGGCAAAGAAAAUAGUGAGACAGAUGAAAGGAAUGCAGAAAUGGUACCACAAAGACAAAUGCUCCUAGAAGCCAAACAGAACAGGCAAGGAAGAGGAAUUCAGACUCUUGGGGGGUCUUCUUGCUUCAC